CUACGGGGUGCUGCAGUGGGGAAUAUUGCACAAUGGGCGCAAGCCUGAUGCAGCAACGCCGCGUGAGUGAAGAAGGUCUUCGGAUCGUAAAACUCUGUCCUAUGGGAAGAAAAAAAUGACGGUACCAUGGGAGGAAGCCCCGGCUAACUACGUGCCAGCAGCCGCGGUAAUACGUAGGGGGCAAGCGUUAUCCGGAAUCACUGGGCGUAAAGGGUGCGUAGGCGGCUUGUCAAGCCAGAGGUGAAAGGCAUUGGCUCAACCAAUGUAAGCCUUUGGAACUGACGAGCUUGAGUACAGGAGAGGUAAGUGGAAUUCCUAGUGUAGCGGUGAAAUGCGUAGAUAUUAGGAAGAACACCAGUGGCGAAGGCGGCUUUCUGGACUGUAACUGACGCUGAGGUACGAAAGCGUGGGGAGCGAACAGGAUUAGAUACCCGAGUAGUC
rnacentral:rRNA from 1 species